AGUCGAACGGAAUCCAUGUUGUAGGUAAUACUUCGGAAGAUUUAGUGGCGAACGGGUGAGUAACACGUGAGAAACCUGCCCCAGACUUUGGGAUAACUAAGGGAAACUUUAGCUAAUACCGAAUACCUUCCAGAAACCGCAUGGUUAUUGGAAGAAAGUUUUUCGGUCUGGGAGGGUCUCGCGACCUAUCAGCUUGUUGGCAAGGUAACGGCUUACCAAGGCUAUGACGGGUAGCUGGUCUGAGAGGACGAUCAGCCACACUGGGACUGAGAUACGGCCCAGACUCCUACGGGAGGCAGCAGUGGGGAAUCUUGCGCAAUGGGCGAAAGCCUGACGCAGCAACACCGCGUGCGGGAUGAAGGCCUUCGGGUUGUAAACCGCUUUCAGUAGGGAAGAAAAUGACGGUACCUACAGAAGAAGCUCCGGCUAACUACGUGCCAGCAGCCGCGGUAAUACGUAGGGAGCAAGCGUUGUCCGGAUUUAUUGGGCGUAAAGAGCUCGUAGGCGGUUUAGUAAGUCAAGUGUGAAAAAUCUGGGCCCAACCCAGUGGAGCACUUGAUACUGCUAUGACUAGAGUCCGGUAGGGGAGUGUGGAAUUCCUGGUGUAGCGGUGAAAUGCGCAGAUAUCAGGAGGAACACCAAUGGCGAAGGCAGCACUCUGGGCCGGUACUGACGCUGAGGAGCGAAAGCGUGGGUAGCA
rnacentral:rRNA from 1 species